rnacentral:tRNA from 1 species
GGAAAUGUGCCUGAAAUCAAAGGACUAUUUUGAUAGAAUAGAUCAUAGGAACGCACCUCCUCAUUUCCC